GCUCGUGUGGCGGAAUUGGCAGACGCAGCGGACUUAAAAUCCUCCGGUCACUUAGACCGUGCCGGUUCGAGUCCGGCCACGAGCACCA
rnacentral:tRNA from 1 species